GUUAAUAUAGCUUAAAUAGAGCUUGACACUGAAGAUGUUAGGGUGUUUGUUAAAACUGUUAAC
rnacentral:tRNA from 1 species